UUGAUCCUGGCUCAGGACGAACGCUGGCGGCGUGCUUACACAUGCAAGUCGAGCGGAGAUUGCAUUUAUGUAAUCUUAGCGGCGGACGGGUGAGUAACGCGUAGGCAACUGCCUUGCACAGAGGGAUAACACCGGGAAACUGGUGCUAAUACCACAUGAUAUCAUAACAAGGCGUCUUGAAAUGAUCAAAGGAGAAAUCCGGUGCAAGAUGGGCCUGCGUCCGAUUAGUUAGUUGGUGAGGUAACGGCUCACCAAGGCGACGAUCGGUAGCCGAACUGAGAGGUUGAUCGGCCACAUUGGGACUGAGACACGGCCCAGACUCCUACGGGAGGCAGCAGUGGGGAAUAUUGCGCAAUGGGGGGAACCCUGACGCAGCAACGCCGCGUGAAGGAAGAAGGCCUUCGGGUUGUAAACUUUUUUGAUUGGGGAAGAAAAAAAUGACGGUACCCAAGGAACAAGCCACGGCUAACUACGUGCCAGCAGCCGCGGUAAUACGUAGGUGGCGAGCGUUGUCCGGAAUUACUGGGUGUAAAGGGCGUGUAGGCGGGAUUGUAAGUCAGAUGUGAAAUUCCAGGGCUUAACUCUGGAGGUGCAUCUGAAACUAUAAUUCUUGAGUGCUGGAGAGGAAAGCGGAAUUCCUAGUGUAGCGGUGAAAUGCGUAGAUAUUAGGAAGAACACCAGUGGCGAAGGCGGCUUUCUGGACAGUAACUGACGCUGAGGCGCGAAAGCGUGGGGAGCAAACCAGGAUUAGAUACCCUGGUAGUCCACGCUGUAAACGAUGGAUACUAGGUGUAGGAGGUAUCGA
rnacentral:rRNA from 1 species